UACAGGGGGGGCGAGCGUUGUUCGGAAUUACUGGGCGUAAAGGGCGCGUAGGCGGCCUGCUAAGUCGGACGUGAAAUCCCUCGGCUCAACCGAGGAACUGCGUCCGAUACUGGUGGGCUUGAAUCCGGGAGAGGGAUGUGGAAUUCCAGGUGUAGCGGUGAAAUGCGUAGAUAUCUGGAGGAACACCGGUGGCGAAGGCGGCAUCCUGGACCGGUAUUGACGCGUGAGGCGCGAAAGCUAGGGGAGCAAACGGG
rnacentral:rRNA from 1 species